UCCCCCUUUAUUACCCUUUGUGUGUGUGUCUCUUUCUCCACUGCUCCAGGAGAGGAAAUAAAAGUGGGGUGCAGCCAAGGUUAUCAUGAGUACCACAUAUGAUUGGAUUAAACUAAUAAAUGCUGAAGAUGAUCCCUUUUGUAGACAAGACUUUUAAGAUCUGGGAUUUCAUAUAAUGAAGGCUUUCACCUUGAAGUUGUAUCAUCAUGAGAGAAUCAGAAGAAGUGUCCAGGAGUACCUUGGACAAUGAAUGGAAGAGCAUGAGAAAACAAAAAGAAUGUGGCAUAUGAAAAGGAUUGAAUACCUGGAGGUAUUAGUUGCCAUACAUCUGUAAAAAUGGGAGUUAAUUUCUCAAAAUACAAAUUAGCUUAGACAGUCAGCAAGCUUGGAGUUGUGCUAUGGAACUAGGAAUAAACAUUUGUGUCCCUUUGUUGCCAGUGACAGAAAAUUGAUGGAUUAUGAUUUUCCCAAGUUGGAAAUACUUGUUUUUACCUAUUUAGGAUAUCCUUAUGACUACAUAAGGAAUAACACAUUUCAUAACUGCCUUGAUUCAGAAUGGGCAAUUGACUUGUCAACAACAGCAACAAAAAUGGUCAACUUUAUGGACUGAGACAGAGCCUUCCAAUGCACUUUGUACACCCUGGGAAUUACUGUGCUGUGUGGCCACCUCCUGAAGGCCAUGAUGAUUUUUAGAAUAAGGAUAUCAUCUUCCUGUUGAUAUCUUUGAAGAAUCAUAAGCUUAAUCAGAAAAAUGAAUGGAAGCAAGGAAUGUGACAGUGGGGACAAGGAUGGAGGGCUGCCAGCAGUACAAGUCCCAGUUGGUUGGCAACGGAGGGUGGAUCAAAAUGGAGUCCUGUAUAUUAGGUAAGUAUGCAGCUAUGUAAUUGGCUGAAAAUGCCUUCAUCAUCAGAGUUUUGUGGAAUGGGAAUUGCU